UACGUAGGGUGCAAGCGUUAAUCGGAAUUACUGGGCGUAAAGCGUGCGCAGGCGGUUAUGUAAGACCGGUGUGAAAUCCCCGGGCUUAACCUGGGAACUGCAGUUGUGACUGCAUAGCUAGAGUACGGUAGAGGGGGAUGGAAUUCCGCGUGUAGCAGUGAAAUGCGUAGAUAUGCGGAGGAACACCGAUGGCGAAGGCAAUCCCCUGGACCUGUACUGACGCUCAUGCACGAAAGCGUGGGGAGCAAACAGG
rnacentral:rRNA from 1 species